UACGUAGGGUGCAAGCGUUAAUCGGAAUUACUGGGCGUAAAGCGUGCGCAGGCGGUUAUAUAAGACAGAUGUGAAAUCCCCGGGCUCAACCUGGGAACUGCAUUUGUGACUGUAGAGCUGGAGUACGGUAGAGGGGGAUGGAAUUCCGCGUGUAGCAGUGAAAUGCGUAGAUAUGCGGAGGAACACCGAUGGCGAAGGCAAUCCCCUGGACCUGUACUGACGCUCAUGCACGAAAGCGUGGGGAGCAAACAGG
rnacentral:rRNA from 1 species